rnacentral:rRNA from 1 species
CUCGUAGGCGGUUCGUCGCGUCCGGUGUGAAAGUCCAUCGCUUAACGGUGGAUCCGCGCCGGGUACGGGCGGGCUUGAGUGCGGUAGGGGAGACUGGAAUUCCCGGUGUAACGGUGGAAUGUGUAGAUAUCGGGAAGAACACCAAUGGCGAAGGCAGGUCUCUGGGCCGUCACUGACGCUGAGAAGCGGAAGCGUGGGGAGCGAACA